CCCUUCCUCCUCAGAUCCCCUUUUCUGUGCACAAGUGCAUUGUGGGAAAAUUCAAGUCCCCAUAAUCAUACUCUUAACAAAAACAUUUUUUAAUGAAAACUCGGGGUUUUAUAGGGCUGCUCACAGUGAGAACGUAGUCCUCUGUUUCGAAGUGAAGCAGGAAAGGCUUCAUAGAGAGAUUUUAUUGUUUACGUUCAAUGAAAGGAAAAGUCUGACUUGAAGUACUCAGAUGUAAUCUCCCUGGUUUAAAAUGGCUCUAUUGUACUCGGAACCGGUGGUGCUCUUUGGAAAGGUGAAUCAAGGUUCUCCCCCAGCCAUGGACUAUCGCUGGAUAGGGUUCAAGCAUGUGGUUCCACAGGACCCAGUAGCUUACUGGCACAUAUCCCCCGUUCGAGAUAGAGAAGUUUAUUUUCUUUGAGGAUGCACUAGUUGAACAGUGUCCUGGUGCCCUGGAAAUUUCAUAACUUUCCAUUUAAUUAAGCAGUUGGCAUGACCUCCAGCAACAGCAGCAGCAGCAGCAGCAGCAGCAGCAGCAGCAGCAGAGAAAUUAAUAAUAGAGCCAGCAAAGCAAGGGGUUGUGCGGAAAAAUACAUUGAUCGGCUGCAGCUAAUGCAGAAAGAGCCUCAGAACGUUUUCAGCAGGUCCCAAACUCUCCCAAAGCAGAAGGGUUUCUCCACGGUUUUCCUUGUGACUGAAAGGGAGUGUUGACAUGCCUCUUCCCAAUGGUGGCAGCAGCCUCAUGGACCGGGAAGCUCAGGGGUUGCUGGCUCCCCAAGUCAAAGCUGACUGGCAACAGGAGUUUUCCGCAGCAACAUCUUUUCUGGAAAAGAGGCCCACCACCAGGUGAAUGAGUCCAGGCUAUGACAGGAGGGAACUGUUUGGACAAGGAAGAGCCACAUGGAAGUUGAAAUGGCUAUUCAGCAGUCCUUCUACAUAGUUCCUGUUUUGAUGGAGCAACUUCAUGGGAGAGUAAAACAGUAGUUACAGAUUAUUGUUUCAUGUUUCAUGUCUUCUUCAAUCAGUUCUUAUGAGUCUUCUAGGUUUUAAGCAUCCCCCCGCCCCGCCCCCAUGGAAUAAAUAAAUUGCUGUCUUAUACCUGAUCUGCUCG
rnacentral:lncRNA from 1 species